rnacentral:rRNA from 1 species
CCCUUAGAUGUUCUGGGCCGCACGCGUGCUACACUGAGUGGAUCAGCGGGUCAGGUUGCGCGAAAGCGUUUCCUAAUCUUUAAAUCCGCUCGUGAUGGGGAUUGACGGUUGCAAUUUUCUGUCAUGAACGAGGAAUACCUUGUAAGCGCGGGUCAUCAUCCCGCGCUGAAUACGUCCCUGCCCUUUGUACACACCGCCCGUCGCUCCUACCGAUUGAACGUUCCGGUGAGACCUUGGGAUUUGGUCUUUGGUACUUUAUUGUGCCGUUGACCGAAAAACUUGAGCAAACCUUAACGUUUAGAGGAAGGUGAAGUCGUAACA